rnacentral:lncRNA from 1 species
AUUACUCAUAAUCCCUAAGUAUCCAAUAAAAGUGUAAGCAAAAUUGACAUGAUGCACACCUACUCUAGAAUCUCAUAAUUAGAAAAUGAAGGAUUGAAGCCUCAGCUCUAAUUUUUAAAAUGCCCUUACAUGAGCUCUGAUUAUUAAAAGUCCCUCAGGUGUCAUCACUGAUAGCCAGCUGAAUAGGGUUAUGUAUAUAGAAGACCAUUUGUUCUUAGUGUAGUACUAAAUGGGAACAUAGUUUGAGAUUUGUGAUUUUGGGUGGAACUGUGAAACAGAAGGCAAGGUGUGGCACUUCCCACAUCACAAAGCUCCUCCAGUGCUGACUCCAUCCUGGGCCACCAGCUGCACAAGGAGCAUAGGAAGAGUUGGGUGCCAGAAGAGCAGCACUGGAGGUAGGACAGCCCCAUAGCUGAAAGGAGUGCCCCUUCAGUCUUCCAGCAGCUCCUCAGCCAUGUGCAGAAA